UCAGGUUAGUCCUAUGGAUGGCACCGUUCUGAGGUUUGGGGAGUUAAAAGAAAGUAGAGGGAUGAUCGAGCAAGUCAAAGGACAUUCCUACUCAGCACCAGGUCUUCUCGGAACAAAUUCUCCUUCCCAUGGUACCUGAAGGUAAGGAUGAAUCUGAGGAAGAAGCUGUUGCAGAUAAAAUCGACAAGUCUUGGUUGAGAUUCUCUUUGGCUUCUCCAAAACUGCGGGAGAGCAUCUCAGCUAGGUCAGUGAAAUAUUAGCACGUCUAAGCAGUGACUUUAGUGUCAAGAAAAUUGCAACUUAUAUGAUCGAGUUUUCUUGCAGUCCGAUGAAGGGGAUCUAUUAUUGUGUGAUAUACCUAAGACCAGGGGACUAUCAUCGUAUACACUCUCCAGCUGACUGGAAUGCAUUGGUUCGUAGACACUUUGCAGAUAUUGAUCGUCAGCUGCUAAUCUAAUUGAGAACAGGUCGUACUUGAAGGGAUAUGGAAACAAGGUUUUAUGGCACUUGCUGCUGAUGGUGCGACCAACAUUGGAUCUAUUCAGCUAUUCAUCGAACCUAGGAGCAGGUGUACGAUCCACAAGGUCAUGGCGUAAAGCUUGAGAAAGGAAAGGGGGUAUGUGGUUUCAAAAGAUAACAGAUACAAAUUUGAGUCUAGGGAAUGUGAUAAAAUAGCAAGGGCUUUCUCCG